ACCGGGGGAGUAAUAUUUUCAUUCUCUCACUCCACUGAGUGGUGAGUGGUGAGUGCUGAGUAUAGUAUCCUUUUCGUUCUGUUUGUUUCCCCAGAAAAUUUAAAAAGAAAAAGCUUGAUGCUUUUCUAUCUUCUACUCGGUUUUUCCGUUACCCGAAUGCCCAUUUUCUCUUGCUUGCCAUGCCUGGUUAAUUGAAGUCUUUUCCACAAAAUUUCAGUCUUUUUGAUGGGUCGAGGCAGCAGGUUUUCAUCAGUUGCAAGCAUUUGUUGGUACUUUUCUUCGCAGCUAGGUUGCAAAACCCGUGGCUGAUGUCCUUGGGUUCAGGUUGAUGUUUAAUUCUUGAUGAAUGCGGACUUAGCUACAGGUUCGAGAUUCUGCAGAAGCGGCUAAAAAGGAAUGCAAAAUGCAAAAAAAAAAAGAGGGGCAUUCCGAGAAUUGAACUCGGGACCUCUUGCACCCUAAGCAAGAAUCAUGCCACUAGACCGAAUGCCCUGCUGUUGAUGCUAUUUUCUCUGGCAAUUCUUACUGCAUCCUAUGUAAGACAAAAUUAUUCAUUUUUUGUGCAUCUAAAUUUCAAUAACUACAAGUCUACAACUAUCUAUUAAAAAAAAAUAUUGCUGUGGAAUCUUGUCAGAAAUUAAUUUUCUAUUUUUUUUUUGUGGUUCAGUGUUGAUUCCUCUUCUCAAAGACCAUGAGCUGAAAUCAGUAGCUACUUAUGUAUUUCCUAAAAUCAUUGGAUUUUAGAUUAUACUU